rnacentral:rRNA from 1 species
ACUACGUGGCAGCAGCCGCGGUCAUACGUAGGACCCAAGCGUUAUCUGGAGAUGCUGGCGUAAAGAGUUGCGUAGGCGGCGCGUCAAGCGAGUAAUGAAAUUUAUCGGCUCAACUGGUAAACUAUUAUUCGAACUGGCGUGCUCGAGAGUAUCAGAGGUCGCUGGAAUUUCUUGUGUAGCAGUGAAAUGCGUAGAUAUAAGAAGGAACACCAAUGGCGUAGGCAGGCGACUGGGAUAUUUCUGACGCUAAGGCACGAAAGCGUGGGGAGCGAACCGGAUUAGAUACCCGGGUAGUCCACGCCGUAAACGAUGAAUGUUAACUGUCGGGGGUAUCGACCCCUUCGGUAGUAAAGCUAACGCGUUAAACAUUCCGCCUGUGGAGUACGGCCGCAAGGCUAAAACAUAAAGGAAUUGACGGGGACCCGCACAAGCGGUGGAGCGUGUUCUUUAAUUCGAUGCUAAACGAAGAACCUUACCCAGGCUUGACAUCCUCUGAAUUACUCCGAAAGGAGUGAGUGCUUUAUUGAACAGAGUGACAGAUCUUGCAUGGCCGUCGUCAGCUCGUGUCGUGAGAUGUAUGGUUAAGUCCAUCAACGAGCGCAACCCUUAUCGUUAGUUGUAUUUUUCUAGCGAGACUGCCUCUGUAAGGAGGAGGAAGGAGGGGAUGAUGUCAGGUCAGUAUUAGUCUUACGUCUGGGGCUAGAAACGCGCUACAAUGGUCAGUACAACGGGCAGCGAAACAGCAAUGUGAAGCAAAUCCCAUCAAAACUGAUCCCAGUUCGGACUGAGGGCUGAAACUCGCCCUCACGAAGUCGGAAUCGCUAGUAAUCGCAGAUCAGCACGCUGCGGUGAAUACGUUCCCGGGUCUUGUACACACCGCCCGUCAAACCAUGAAAGUCAGGAGCACCCGACGCCCGAAUUUAUUUCGGUCUAAGGGAGCCUUNNU